rnacentral:rRNA from 1 species
CAAUAGCGUAUAUUAAAGUUGUUGCAGUUAAAAAGCUCGUAGUUGAAUUUCUGUCAGGAGUGACCGGGCCUUUGGAUGAACUUCCAUUGCUUUUUGCUCUGUUUGUCAUCUCUAGACAUCCUGAAAUAUUUUUUAAAAAUAUUUCUCUUUUACUGUUAGCAAAAUAGAGUGUUCCAAGCAAAGCGUAGUUUUGAAUACAUUAGAAUGGAAUAAUAAGAUAGGACUUUGGUGCUAUUUUGUUGGUUUGCACACCGAGGUAAUGAUUAAUAGGGACAGUUGGGGGUAUUCGUAUUUAAUUGUCAGAGGUGAAAUUCUUGGAUUUAUGAAAGACGAACUACUGCGAAAGCAUUUACCAAGGAUGUUUUCAUUAA